GUGGGGAAUCUUGCGCAAUGGGCGAAAGCCUGACGCAGCCAUGCCGCGUGAAUGAUGAAGGUCUUAGGAUUGUAAAAUUCUUUCACCGGGGACGAUAAUGACGGUACCCGGAGAAGAAGCUCCGGCUAACUUCGUGCCAGCAGCCGCGGUAAUACGAAGGGGGCUAGCGUUGCUCGGAAUUACUGGGCGUAAAGGGCGCGUAGGCGGACAGCUUAGUCAGAGGUGAAAGCCCAGGGCUCAACCUUGGAAUUGCCUUUGAUCCUGGCUGUCUUGAGUUUGGGAGAGGUGAGUGGAACUCCGAGUGUAGAGGUGAAAUUCGUAGAUAUUCGGAAGAACACCAGUGGCGAAGGCGACUCACUGGCCCAAUACUGACGCUGAGGCGCGAAAGCGUGGGGAGCAAACAGGAUUAGAAACCCGUGUAGUCC
rnacentral:rRNA from 1 species